CCAUAGUUGACCUCAAUGUUCAAAGGAUGGCCAGGGCUACAUCAUCUUGUUGUUGACGGGUUCCGUGUGUUCAAUCGCCGAGCAGAAAGCUAGGAACAGAACUUAGGCGUUGGCGAUUGGCAUCUCCCUCCCCUAAGCCAUGGCCACCGGGCGGCCCGUACGACUCGUGCUGGAUGCCUCCCUCCUCCUCGACCCCUCCUCCACCAGGGAGGCGGCGACGGUGGCUCUGCGGCCCGGGGUAGAGGAGCUGUUGCGGUGAUUGCGCUACUCCAACCUGACUGUGGCAAUCUGCUAUGCAGAGGGCAUGCCAACUAAUGAGGUGCUCUACUUAUCUACAUUAUUAUUACAUCCCUCUGAAGUUGUAUCUUCAGAAGUUCACAUUGACAGUAUUUGCUUCCUCUUGCCAUACUUACCCAUCAUGGCCCAUGGGGUGUCUAUCUUAUCAUGCCAUCUUCAAAGAAUGGCAUCAUAUGUUAACAAAAAUGAAAG